rnacentral:tRNA from 1 species
GUAAAUAUAGUUUAAACAAAACACUAGAUUGUGAUUCUAGAGAUAGGAGAUAUACUCCUUAUCUACC